rnacentral:rRNA from 1 species
UACGAAGGGGGCUAGCGUUGCUCGGAAUUACUGGGCGUAAAGCGCACGUAGGCGGCUUUCUAAGUCGGGGUGAAAUCCUGGAGCUCAACUCCAGAACUGCCUUCGAUACUGGAGAGCUCGAGUCCGGGAGAGGUGAGUGGAACUGCGAGUGUAGAGGUGAAAUUCGUAGAUAUUCGACAAGAACACCAGUGGCGAAGGCGGCUC